rnacentral:lncRNA from 1 species
UUUGAAAUGCACAUUUUAGACAUCAAGAUGUAUCUCUAUACAGCCAUAACGCUGAUUUUCUUUACGGGAAACACCAUUGCAGAACCAACAUCAGGAAAAGACAGCGCAUCUUGUAUACUAUUUUUGUUUUAUUUCAUAUUGCUUUAAAUUAUUUUUUAGUGAACUACAUAUAGUUGAAAAGAUAUCAUAAUAUGAUUAACAAGACAAUCAUACGGAAGCGUAUUAGGGACAUAGAAAAAAUAAAAGUAGUAGUGAACUUUUUUUUCAAAGUCGAAAUUUUGACAUUUCAAAUCUUAAAAUUUCGACUUUAACUCGAAAUUUUAACUUUUCUUAUCUUGAAAUUUUGACUUUCUAAAAUCUUGAAAUUUCGACUUUUCAAAGAGUCGAAAUUUUGACUUUUUUAGAAUUCGAAAUUUUGCCUUUAUAAAAAGUCGAAAUUUCGACUUAAACUCAAAAUUUCGACUUUUUUAAAAAUGGAAAUUUCGGUUUUUUCUAAACUCGAAAUUUCGACUUCUUUUUAACUCAAAAUUUCGACUUGUUUUAAACUCAAAAUUUCGACUUGUUUUAAACUCAAAAUUUCGACUUGUUUUAAACUCAAAAUUUCGAACUUUCCUAAGUAUUUAUACGUUUGCGAUUACCACAUUUACACAGUCAUUUAUAUCAGCAAGCGGAGAGCCAUAUACAUCAUAAACUUAAUAAGCACAUUUUAAUAAACUAAACCAUUUUAAAGAGGUUAUUUUAGAUAGAAAAUCUUGUUCUUGCCGAAGAAUAAAUAAAACAUGUUUCACGUUCAAAUACAUAUUUCAAGUCUGGACUUCAGAUAUGUGUAUCAAGACAACCCCGUUAUUUCGAUACACCCAUGUUACAACAUACUUUUAUUCAACAGUCGGAUAUAUGAAGACAAGGGUUAAUAGUUGUGUCAUAAGAAUGUCACCUUGUAGAGUUUAAUCAAUAUUCCAGAAAAAAGAACCAUUUAUUUAUUUCAAAAUUCAAAACUAGAAAACCGAGCAGCUCAUUUGUCGUCCUGAAUAUGCAUGGCAUUUUUGGCUACUUGAUUUACCAUUGAUUAAACAAGGCAAAGUCAGUGACUUGCUACAGGGAAACCAAACAGGCCUUUGAAACUGCGAUGCUAUAUGUUCUCAGAUAUGACGAUGCUAUGACAGUGUGGUGGGAACUAAAACAUGGAACAGAACCUAUUUCAAAAUAUAAAUUGCCAAAAUGUGUUGAUGACGCUUUAAUAAUUUGCCUCCAUGUCUACUCCUUCUAAAAUUGUAAUAACUAUGUUUGAAUACUAAAAUCAAAGUUUUAAAAGAGAUCAAAGUCGUAAUUUCGAUUGUAAAAAAAAAAUCGAAAUUUUGAGUUUACAAAAAGUCGAAAUUUUGAGUUUAAAAUAAGUUGAAAUUUCGAGUUUAAAAUAAGUCAAAAUUUCGAGUUUUAAAAAGUCGAAAUUUGAGUUACAAAAAGUCGAAAUUUUGAAUUUAAAAUAAGUUGAAAUUUCGAGUUUUAAAUAAGUCGAAAUUUUGAGUUUAAAAAAGUCGAAAUUUCGAGUUUAAAGCGAAAAUUUCGACUUUUUGUAAGUCGAAAUUUCGAGUUUCAAAAAAAGUCAAUAUUUCGACAUUUCAAAAAGUCGAAAUUUUGGGUUUUAAAAAGUCGAAAUUUUGAGUUUAAAGCGAACAUUUCGACUUUUUGUAAGUCGAAAUUUCGAGUUUCAAAAAAGUCAAUAUUUCGACUUUUCAAAAAGUCGAAAUUUCAAGAUUUUUGAAAGUCAAAAUUUAAAUUUAUGUCAAAAUUUCGGGAUUUGAAAAGUCAAAAUUUCAACUUAAAGUCAAAAUUUCGAGAUUUGAAAAGUCAAAAUUUCGACUUUGAAAAAAAAGUUCACUGCCAAUUUUAUUUUUUCUAUGUCCCUAAUACGCUUCCGUAUUAAACCGAUCUCUGCGUUCACAUUUAAAGUCAGAUCGGUUUACUUUAGAUCGAUUCAAACUAAACUACCUCUUUUGGUGUUUUAGUUUCGACCGAUUGAAGAUCGAUUCAAAGCGUUCACAUUAGCCCUUAAACCGAUCUAAAGUGAACCGGUCUAGUUUAAAUCGAUAAAAAUGUCCUAGUGUGAAUGGGAUCUAUGUCAGAAGUAAAUAUAUUAAGAUAUAUUAUUAUAAAAUCAAUCCACUUUCAAACUAGUACAGUUAUUAUCUGUAAGAAAUGUUAAGGAAUUAAAUAAUCUGCGUCAAUAACUUUAUGAGGCAGAGAAAAUUCGUUACACUUGACUGUUUGUUAUGUACCGUUAAUACUAGUGGAAAAUUGUAUGCCAAUCUCCGCUACAUGUAAUACAUUGUUUAUGAUAUUGAUUCUGUAUAUGUACAUGUAAACUGUAUAAGUUGUGUACCUGUUUAAUCCUGUGAGCUGUAUUUGUUUAGGGAAUAAAGUAUUAUUAUUAUUAAUAUGUAUUUACUAUAAAAUAAAAGUGGUUUCUGUUUGUUUUGCAAAUAAAGCUAUAUAUUAUAUAAUGUAUCGAUGAUCUCUGUUUAAUAUAGAAGACACAUAAUUUAGAGAAAAAUUAUCAAUAUCAAUACCAUUUAUCUAUAUUAAGAACUGUCAAAUGUAUAAAAUAUUAUUUCAUGACAUUUAUUUCUGUUGUAGCGGUAACAUUUUAUGGUGAAACAGCUAAUAAAGUCGUUGAGUUACUCUCUGAAAAUUGUGAAUGCAAAACAGUCAAAGAAAAAACACCAAAGAAAAUAGUUAAUGAAGAUGAUGAUGACGAUGAUAAGGAUGAUGAACCCCAAUCCUCAUGCACAGGUAUGAAAGCCACUUAUAUAAUUCAUUGUAAAAUAACUGAUGUAAUGUGUUUGUAAACAUGACUGUUUGUGUUUUUGUCGAAUUAAUAGUUUAAUACCAAAAUUGUAUACAUAUAAUUGCUAUUUUAACAUUUCCAGACCGGUGUGAAAAAAAUAUUUCUAACCUUUAAUAAAAAAUCUGUUCUUAGCAAAUGAUUUGUUGAAAUUUAAUUGUGACGUCAAAUUUUGUUGUUUUCUUCUGAAUUUUCUUAUUGUGACGUCACGAAAAAAGGCAACUUUGCCUGUUGACGUCAUAUCAAAAGUACUCAAAUCUUCAAAAAGGAUGGUUAAAAAUCAUCGGGCAAAAUAUAUCUUGUUUUUAUGGUAAAAAUUUAUAUAAAUUUCAGUAACAAAACCAACUGACUGUGGUGAUCUGGACAAAUCAACUUGUAAAAGUGGAAUCUACAAGAUCUUCCCUGACAAAACGUCUGGUUUCA